rnacentral:rRNA from 1 species
UACGUAGGGGGCAAGCGUUGUCCGGAAUCAUUGGGCGUAAAGAGCGUGUAGGCGGCUCGGUAAGUCCGCUCUGAAAGCCCGGGGCUCAACCCCGGGAGGCGGCGGAUACUGUCGGGCUAGAGUCCGGAAGAGGCGAGUGGAAUUCCUGGUGUAGCGGUGAAAAUGCGCAGAUAUCAGGAGGAACACCAAUGGCGAAAGGCAGCUCGCUGGGACGGUACUGACGCUGAGACGCGAAAGCGUGGGGAGCAAACAGG